UACGGAGGGUGCAAGCGUUAUCCGGAUUCACUGGGUUUAAAGGGUGCGUAGGCGGGUAUAUAGGUCAGUGGUGAAAGCUCCGGGCUUAACUUGGAAACUGCCAUUGAUACUGUAUAUCUUGAAUGUCGUUGAGGUUAGCGGAAUGUUGCAUGUAGCGGUGAAAUGCUUAGAUAUGUUACAGAACACCAAUUGCGAAGGCAGCUCGUUACACGAAUAUUGACUCUGAGGCUCGAAAGCGUGGGGAUCAAACAGG
rnacentral:rRNA from 1 species